rnacentral:rRNA from 1 species
AUUGAACGCUGGCGGCAGGCCUAACACAUGCAAGUCGAGCGGAUGAGAAGAGCUUGCUCUUCGAUUCAGCGGCGGACGGGUGAGUAAUGCCUAGGAAUCUGCCUGGUAGUGGGGGACAACGUUUCGAAAGGAACGCUAAUACCGCAUACGUCCUACGGGAGAAAGCAGGGGACCUUCGGGCCUUGCGCUAUCAGAUGAGCCUAGGUCGGAUUAGCUAGUUGGUGAGGUAAUGGCUCACCAAGGCGACGAUCCGUAACUGGUCUGAGAGGAUGAUCAGUCACACUGGAUCUGAGACACGGUCCAGACUCCUACGGGAGGCAGCAGUGGGGAAGAUUGGACAAUGGGCGAAAGCCUGAUCCAGCCAUGCCGCGUGCGUGAAGAAGGUCUUCGGAUUGUAAAGCACUUUAAGUUGGGAGGAAGGGCAGUAAGUUAAUACCUUGCUGUUUUGACGUUACCGACAGAAUAAGCACCGGCUAACUCUGUGCCAGCAGCCGCGGUAACAC